CAGCCGCCACGGGAAUACGUAGGGGGCAAGCGUUAUCCGGAUAUACUGGGUGUAAAGGGAGCGCAGGCGGUGCGGCAAGUCUGAUGUGAAAGCCCGGGGCUCAACCCCGGGACUGCAUUGGAAACUGUCGUACUUGAGUAUCGGAGAGGUAAGUGGAAUUCCUAGUGUAGCGGUGAAAUGCGUAGAUAUUAGGAGGAACACCAGUGGCGAAGGCGGCUUACUGGACGAUAACUGACGCUGAGGCUCGAAAGCGUGGGGAGCAAACAGGAUUAGAUACCCCUGUAGUCCCUGUCUCUAUACA
rnacentral:rRNA from 1 species